AUGCUAACCCUGACUCUACUGUAUGUAAUGCUAACCCUGACACUUCUGUGUCUAAUGCUAACCCUGACUCUACUGUAUCUAAUGCUAACCCUGACUCUACUGUAUCUAAUGCUAACCCUGACUCUACUGUGUCUAAUGCUGUUCCUGACUCUACUGUGUCUAAUGAUAACCCUGACUCUACUGUAUCUAAUGCUGACCCUGACUCUACUGUGUCUAAUGCUGUUCCUGACUCUACUGUGUCUAAUGAUAACCCUGACUCUACUGUAUCUAAUGCUGACCCUGACUCUACUGAUAGUAACAUUAACCUUAACUCUACUGUAUCUAAUGCUGACACUGACUUUACUGUAUCAAAUUCUGACCCUGACUCUACUGUGUCAAAUGAUAACCCUGACUCUACUGUGUCGAAUGCUGUUCCUGACUCUACUGUGUCUAAUGAUAACGUUGACUCUACUGUGUCUAAUGCUGACCCUGACUCUACUGUGUCUAAUGAUAACUCUGACUCUACUGUGUCAAAUGCUGACCCUGACUCUACUGUAUUUAAUGCUGACCCUGACUCCGUGUCUGAUGCUAACCCUGACUCUAUUGUAUCUAAUGCUCACUCUACUGUAUCUAACCCUGACUCUAAUGUGUCUAAUGCUAACCCUGACUCUACUGUAUCUAAUGCUAACCCUGACUCUACUGUAUCUAAUGCUGACUCUACUGUAUCUAACCCUGACUGUACUGUGUCUAAUGCUAACCCUGACUCUGAUGUAUCUAAUGCUAACGCUGACUCUACUGUAUCUAAUGCUGACCCUGACUCUACUCUGUCUAAUGAUAACCCUGACUCUACUGUAUCUAAUGCUGACCCUGACUCUACUGAUAGCAACAUUAACCUUAACACUACUGUAUCUAAUGCUGACCCUGACUCUACUGUAUCUAAUGCUGACCCUGACUCUACUGAUAGUAACAUUAACCUUAACUCUACUGUAUCUAAUGCUGACACUGACUUUACUGUAUCUAAUGCUGACCCUGACUCUAAUGUGUCUAAUGAUAAUCCUGACUCUACUGUAUCUAAUGCUGACCCUGUCUCUACUGUGUCUAAUGCUGACCCUGACUCUACUGUAUUUAAUGCUGACCCUGACUCCGUGUCUAAUGCUAACCCUGACUCUACUGUAUCUAAUGCUGACUCUACUGUAUCUAACCCUGACUCUAAUGUGUCUAAUGCUAACCCUGACUCUACUGUAUCUAAUGCUAACCCUGACUCUACUGCAUCUAAUGCUAACCCUGACUCUACUCUAUCUAAUGCUGAUCCUGACUCUAUUGUAUCUAAUGCUGACCCUGACUCUUUUGUAUCUUAACUCUAACCCUGACUCUACUGUAUGUAAUGCUAACCCUGACUCUGCUGUAUCUAAUGCUAAUGCUGACUCUACUGUAUCUAAUGCUAACCCUGACUCUACUGUAUCUAAUGCUAACUCUGAGUCUACUGUGUCUAAUGCUGACCCUGAUUAA
ensembl:lncRNA